rnacentral:tRNA from 1 species
GCCCGGCUAGCUCAGUCGGUAGAGCACGAGACUCUUAAUCUCGGAAUCGUGGGUUCGUUGGCCACGUUGGGCG